GAGACUCUCCCUCGCCGACCCUGUAGCCCCUUCCCGGAGCUGCUCUCCCUCUCUGGAUCUCCCCCCACCCCUUGCUCCCAACCCACCUGAGGGGGAGGGGAGAGGAAGGGAGGGAUCGAGCACUGCCGGAUCCCAGCCUCCCGUCCCUGUGCCCCUUGGAAUGACAGGAGGGGAGCGAGCCUUCGUCCGUCAGUCUGUCCGUGAGAAGAGGAGCAACCUUCCCUGUGACUGUGGGUCUUCCAUCUCCUGCUAAACCUGUCCCCUGAGGGAAGAGGAAGAGGAAAAUAAGUAGGAAACAGGGCUUCCGUUUCCUGCCACACAAGUUUGACUCCCCUCUCCCACUGCACUGUCCCCUGACUGAUUUCCAGCCUUCAGAGAAGAGUGAGAAAUAACUUCCCAUCUCACGUGACCCGGCAUUCAUCACAGAGAACAUAACAGCACCAAUGGAAACGGCAGUGGCAUCGCUCAACACGGGUCUGACG